rnacentral:pre_miRNA from 1 species
AUGCUACUCCCUUCGUCCGGAAAAGCUUGUCCCCCAAAUAGAUGAAUCUAGCAUCAAGUUAGUGCAAGAUACAUCCAUUUGAGGGACCAGCUUUUUCGGAUGGAGGGAGUAUUAU